rnacentral:lncRNA from 1 species
GUUCUUUCUAUCUUGUGGCUCCAUCAUUCUCUGGCAUAUUGUCCUCAUCUACUUGGUUGAAGCUAAUUCAUCAUCGUUUUAUUUGCAUUCCUACCCUAGGAAAAAGAGGAAGUGCAGUGCAAACCACUUCCUUUUUAGGACAUGACCCAGAAGUUACUAACAUCCUUUUGGCUAGGGCUUAGUCAUUUAUCCAUAACUAGCUGCUAGGAAGGCUUGAAAAUAAACUCAUUAGCUGGAGAGUCAAGUGCUCUCCUUAAAAACUCUAUUACUGUGGAAGAGCAUAUAUUGGGUGACAAGCAGUAAUCUACCAGAGAUAGGACAUGGAGCUGUGGAUUAGCAAAAGAAGCUGGCAAAAGCUGAGGCCUGAAAGGGAGCCAAACAUCUUUGUGUCAUACGCCUCCACAAAACCGACACCACACCUCCAGCCCCACUCCCAACCUCCCGAAGACUGAGCUGGUGGAGAGCAGGGAAGAAGAAAAUGGAGGAAACGGUAGAUCUUAGAGAAGAGGUGGCAGCGAGCAGCAUGAAUUUCUACUCUUGGCAUGGAAUGGAUACCCGACUUUCCUGGGUGUGGAGUCACUCUUGUGGAAGGGGGUUGAGAGGAAUCUGUCCUGUAGUGAUGUACUCUGAAGAUCUGUCUACCAAAUCAUAUUUCAUGGCAGAACAGAUACGAAUUCAGCAGGAAUUGGCUCUCCUUCCACAACAAAGCCCAAGACUAGGACCGAGUCACCUGAAUUAGCCAGACGCUGAAGCAGCUCUUGCCGUGUACAGAGAAAAAAAUUAUUGCCUGCAUUAAAAAAAAAAAAUCUCUUCCCACCCACCUAAGGCCAUAAUACAUCAGAGAAAAGCAUUCUUGGCUGCUGGUUCAUAAAUAAGUCACAACUGACAGGGACAGCAUAGGGGAUGUGUUAUGGGGAAAAAAACAAGGAAAAAAAUCCUUUGUAGAGAUUUUAUUUCCUACCUUAAUAAACAAAGAGUUGACAAGUGGCCA